rnacentral:rRNA from 1 species
AGACCCGAAACCCGGUGAUCUAGCCAUGGGCAGGUUGAAGGUUGGGUAACACUAACUGGAGGACCGAACCGACUAAUGUUGAAAAAUUAGCGGAUGACCUGUGGCUGGGGGUGAAAGGCCAAUCAAACCGGGAGAUAGCUGGUUCUCCCCGAAAGCUAUUUAGGUAGCGCCUCGUGAAUUCAUCUCCGGGGGUAGAGCACUGUUUCGGCUAGGGGGCCAUCCCGGCUUACCAACCCGAUGCAAACUGCGAAUACCGGAGAAUGUUAUCACGGGAGACACACGGCGGGUGCUAACGUCCGUCGUGAAGAGGGAAACAACCCAGACCGCCAGCUAAGGUCCCAAAGUCAUGGUUAAGUGGGAAACGAUGUGGGAAGGCCCAGACAGCCAGGAUGUUGGCUUAGAAGCAGCCAUCAUUUAAAGAAAGCGUAAUAGCUCACUGGUCGAGUCGGCCUGCGCGGAAGAUGUAACGGGGCUAAACCAUGCACCGAAGCUGCGGCAGCGAACGUAUCACUUAAAGCGAUUCAGCGGGUUACGAUUGACGGAGCGAAGCGACGUCAAAGCGUAUACAAAGUCGAGUCGGUUUAAGGAUACGU